GAAAAUGUAGCUCAAUCUGAAAGAGCACUUGCCUAGCAUGCCUGAAGCCCUGGGUUUGAUUCCCAGCAUGACCU
rnacentral:tRNA from 1 species